AUUUAUUUACAAUCAGCUGUCACUAUGACGCAACAGCAACGUCAAACGUCACGUCAGUGUUUUCUGGAUCCAGCCGAACACUUUGAUACUGUUACUUAUUGGGUUAUUUCACAUAUUUUACGGAAGAGAAAUGUAAGAAAUUCACUGAUCAAAAGGCCUAGUUUCAUAUCGUAAAGGGAAGCGACAUCUUAGAGCAGAAGAUUCUUAAUUGUUGUCUAUCGGCUUAGCAGUUGUAUGAUCUGUAAAGAAUGGACGGCCAGAUUUUUGUCUUCUGGUUUGCCUUGUUCAUAGGCCUCUCACAGCUGGUGUCUGCCGAAGAGCUCACCCAGGAACCUCACCAGAUUGACCUUGGAAACAUUCUGGCCAUUAUCGUGCUCUUGGUCAUGGGGAUAUUAGGGGGUCUGGCAUGCUUAGGGUCCUAUGCUAGGAAUCACUUGAGAAAUUCAUAUUAACCUUUGCAUUUCUUGUGCAUUUAAUCCACUGCUGCUGGGUAUGACAUGUACAUGGUGCCAUGUCUACUGUGAGUUUACUCUAUUUAUUGUGUUUACGCAAAAUGACUACAAGAGCUUGGUCACCUAGGGGUCAAUUACUAGUCUACAGUACCUCACCUGUUUUCUCUUUUCCGUAGGUUUUAAUGUUUUUUUUUUUUUUUUUUUUUUUUUUUUGCACAUUGCUAUUAUUAUUAUGAUGACAUUUUAUUAUCAUAAUGUCAAAAAUGAUUAUAACUAUAUUGAUAUUAAUAGGAUUAGAAAAUUAUAAAAAAAUUCCCCAAAUAUUCAAGGAUUGGAGAAAUCAGGGAGAUCAUGUAGUACUAAUUGACUCAUAGGUAACUGAGCACUUGCAAAGCCAACAGUGUGUAAAUAUGAUUCAAGUACCUGGUGCCAGUGGGUUAAUCUCUUGUUUAUUUAGUGUGUGAGAAGGGUCCAGUUGACUGCUUUUGUAGGAUGAUGAUGGAUGAUAUAAAAUUUCUUAGUUGGCUGUAGAUCAGCUUUGUGAAUAUUAAUUUUAUUGUCAUACUAUUGCUGUCAAGUAUUUCUUAAAUGAAAUUCUUGAAUUUUAUGUUUUGAGUUCACUCUCAUGGAUGCAUACCUAGUAUUUAUUCUUCUAAAGGAGAUAUAGUUUUUAUUCCAGUAGGAUAUUUGAAAUGAUCUAAGAGUGAGAAUGAGUUUUAAAUUCACUCUUGUAUUUGAUAAGUAUAUUGUUGGUGUUAUAUUGUUCUCGGAAAGAAUACAAUGUGACCCAGUUUCUCUAAGCUCUUCUUUCUGUUGUUUUGCAUUUCUCUUAGUUCUUCCAGUGUUCUCAUCUAUACUGACCCAAGUCUAGUCUUCAUAAUUAUGGGAGAUGUAUCUUGUUCUGGAAAUUUUAUGGAAUUGUUUGUAUGUUAUAGAUAUUAUUUCCUGUUAGUAAAAUUUGAAGCAUGAAAGAUCAUACCUGUGCACCAUGUCUGUCAGAAGUGUUGUCUUAAUAAUGCUUGUAAACUUGUCAAAGAGUUUUCCAAAGAUUACAUCAUUCCUUUGUUUUUUGUGUCUUCUUGAUGGAAUUCCACAUGGUCUUUGACAUUGUAUUUAUGCUUCAUGAAGAAAUUUUGUGCAUUAUCCCUAAGAAAACUACAAUUAAUAUAUGAAAUACUGAAGAGUGAUCUAUAACCUAUUGGGUCAUAGAUUUGUGAUAUAUUAUCUUUUUUACAAUUUAUAAUAAAAUUUUCAGUAGCUGA
rnacentral:misc_RNA from 1 species